UACAGAGCAAUUAGGCAUUCUGAGAACUGCAAUAUAAUGACUCGGAAUUCUUCAUUACUUCUUUUUCUUUCUUUUCCAUUCCCACAGUUACUUUUGCAUUUCAUCUUUUGUGCUGAUAACUUAACGUUGUGUCACAUCUAACAGCCCUCCUUUAGAGUAGUUUCAUUCUGCAUAAUCAGAGCCAGAAGAAAAAAACAUCAAUGAGCAAGGCAAUCUAAUCAGCAUUUUCCUCCACAUGGCGGUUAAAGGAAGCGUACAACCUGAGACCGCGGCGAGCAGAGCUCAAUAUCAGAGCUCGAGACACUGGUCAAUCAAUGAAACCAAGCUACUCAAGUGAAGGGCAGAGCGUGUGCAGCCGCUGUGCCUGGGCUCCAGUUGGGCAUCCUGUCUGCUGAUGGACAGCUGGGAGUUUCCUCACCUCUGAAGUCUUACACUGACUGCCUCCAAGCUUUCCUAAAACACCUCACACUCCCCCAGCGCAGUCUCUGAACCUCCUGACUCUGGCAGUAUUUGUCCUUCCAGGAACACAUUAUGCCUCAGAGCUGUGAUGCACAGAGCUCCCAAGGACGUAAGGAGAGCCCAUAAGCACUGAGACAAACCCAGAACUUGUCAUUUUGCUCCAUUUUCUCAUCUAGAAAAUAUAGAUGUUAGAUAAAGUUGCGCUGGGCUCCUGUAACCUUCUCAUUGACAGGACAUCCCACUGCAGGAAUCCAUCCAUAGAAGAGCUCCUGAGCGAGUACAUGCCCUAUCUCACACUGCCGUGGUGAUUUAAAGACACUUCUGUGCCCACUCCCACUCCUGCUGCCCCUCUUGGAGGAUGGAUAAGCUGCACAUCUGCCCAGCAGUGAACAGGUUCUGCAGCCUUUGCCUGAUGAUGAGCUGCCUGUGCCAGCUUCAAUUAGCUGCAAGGAGCCAGAGAGCGGUAGGAGAUGAAUCCAACUUCGUGCUCUCCCCUCUGACCUGCCUCAUUACUGAAAGAAAGGGGCAGCCCAAAGCACGUCGAUGCAGAAAAGACCCGUUGGGUCCUGAGAUCCAUCAUGCUGCUGGAGGAAGGGUACAGCCUCUCCGAGGUCACAGCUGAGAUCAGCAAGUUUGGCUGUUUAAACAGUUUUGCAAGAAAAGAUGCUUUUGCUGUGGGAUUUGGGGUUGCUUUGGUCGGUUCCGC
ensembl:lncRNA